rnacentral:rRNA from 1 species
AACGAACGCUGGCGGCAGGCCUAACACAUGCAAGUCGAGCGCGCCCUUCGGGGUGAGCGGCGGACGGGUGAGUAACGCGUGGGAACGUGCCCUUCUCUGCGGAAUAGCCUCGGGAAACUGAGAGUAAUACCGCAUACGCCCUUUGGGGGAAAGAUUUAUCGGAGAAGGAUCGGCCCGCGUUGGAUUAGGUAGUUGGUGGGGUAAUGGCCCACCAAGCCGACGAUCCAUAGCUGGUUUGAGAGGAUGAUCAGCCACACUGGGACUGAGAGACGGCCCAGACUCCUACGGGAGGCAGCAGUGGGGAAUCUUAGACAAUGGGGGCAACCCUGAUCUAGCCAUGCCGCGUGAGUGAUGAAGGCCUUAGGGUUGUAAAGCUCUUUCAGCUGGGAAGAUAAUGACGGUACCAGCAGAAGAAGCCCCGGCUAACUCCGUG